AUCCAGCUGACGAAACCCGAAUGAGGCGAAACGCACGUCCUGGAU
rnacentral:hammerhead_ribozyme from 1 species